CUUCAAUUGGCACUUUUGUUACCUAUAUAGCACACAAGCUGCAGAAGAAAGAAUGGGAUUAUGACAUAAAUCUGGUGACUUGGUCUGCUGGUGUUUUUUAUGGCUAUGUCACCAUUGUUCCUCUUGGUUUGUAUGUGAUCCUUAAGUACUUCUCAGCACCAUCAGGCCUUGUCCAGCUGUUUUGUCUAUAUGGUUACUCCCUAUUCAUCUUUAUUCCUGCACUGUGUCUCUCCAUUAUUCCCUUGGAAAUUUUCAGGUGGGUGAUUGCAGGUGUGGCCGGCUUUAUGUCAGCAUCCUUUGUGGCACUUAAUCUACGAGCUCAUAUCAUGUCGGCAGGUGAAAGGUGGUUUUUGAUUGUUGCUAGCAUCUUUCUGUUGCAGCUGGCUCUGUCUGUGAUUUUGAAGCUUUAUUUGUUCA
rnacentral:misc_RNA from 1 species